GGCCGCCUGGCGAAAUGGCAUCGCGUCUGACUACGAUGUGUUAGUAAUCAGGAGAUUGCAGGUUCGACCCCUGCGGUGGUCA
rnacentral:tRNA from 1 species